rnacentral:rRNA from 1 species
GACGAACGCCGGCGGCGUGCUUAACACAUGCAAGUCGAACGGAAAGGCCUGCUUUCCCUUGUGGAUUGCGGGUGCUCGAGUGGCGAACGGGUGAGUAACACGUGAGUGAUCUGCCCCCAACUUGGGUAUAAGCCUGGGAAACUGGGUCUAAUUCCCGAUAGGACUGCAGGGUGGUGCCUGUGGUGGAAAACGAUUUUCUAGUGGUUGGGGAUGAGCUCGCGGCCUAUCAGCUUGUUGGUGGGGUAAUGGCCUACCAAGGCGGCGACGGGUAGCCGGCCUGAGAGGGUGGACGGCCACAUUGGGACUGAGAUACGGCCCAGACUCCUACGGGAGGCAGCAGUGGGGAAUAUUGCACAAUGGGCGGAAGCCUGAUGCAGCGACGCCGCGUGGGGGAUGACGGCCUUCGGGUUGUAAACUCCUUUCGACCGCGAGGAAGCCACCUGGUUGGAAGGGUGGUGACGGUAGUGGUAGAAGAAGCACCGGCUAACUACGUG